GUACACGUGGGCUCCUUAUGCGUUUCUAGCUUGGGAUCUCAUUCCCUCAGGCCCGGUAGGCGUGCGCGGGGCUGGGUAUGGGGACGGGGGAGGGGGGCUUUUUCAAGGCACCAGAAACUCGUGGGAUGGGAGAAGCUUUGGAUAGUUACCCCUUUCUGCCUGUCGCUCUGGGUGUCCGGUGCCCCCAGCUCCCUCCGACUCUGCUCCUGGCAGCCCAGCCGAGCCGGAGUGGGAGCGUUGGCGGCGGCCCGGAACCUGCCGGGCCACUUUUGUGCUAGGGGCGGAUUGUGGCAGGCAGAGAGCCGAGCCAAGCAGGCCAGGCAGAAUGGGGGCUCGGGCCUGCGCGCGGCCUUGGAAACCUCGGCUCCUCCCCGUCCCCGCCUCGAGUCUCAGGAAACAAAGUCUCGGAAGCGCAGGCCGAUUGGGGAGGAACUCUGGCGUCUCGGAGGCCUGGCCCCGGGCCGCGCUCUGCGGUGGGGGCAUCUAGCGUGGCUGCCCGCCUGUGGGCAGUUUCAAGUCGGAAUAAGGGUGUGGAUGGACCAGCACCCAGCCGCCAGCUCACCCCUCCAUCGCCUGUUGUUGUGGGAGCAGCCGGGUGGGAGUUGCUGCUCUUCCAGGACGGAGCUGACUCAGGGAAACACCCCCUUGUCAGGAAGAAGUGCGAGUGGGCAGGACCCGGCUCAGACCCGGCUCAGACCCUGCUCCGACCCCCAUCAGGUGCCUAAGUUAGGAACAGCCCUCUUUCUAAUUCUUUGCUCACCAGCCCUCCGAGUGGCCAGGGACCCUCCUCACUUUGUAGAUGAGCAAAUGGACAUUCUGCCUGGGCCUCUAAGAGAUUUGCCGUGGAAUGGGAAAGAGGCCGCCAGCUCCUAGCUGAGCCCGAGUUGGACUGGCCUCUCCUGACUUGUGUGGCUUCAGCUGCCCCAGAAUGGGUGGGGCUGCAGUUGGUGGGCAUCCCUGUGCAUAGGGGACCAACCAAGCUGUGUGGCAAAGCUGAGGCUUAGGGAGGGAGCGUUGGCCAACCCAUCUUCUCCCAUCCCCUUUACCUUCCCAGAUCAGAUCAGAGAGGGGCAGAUCUCAUCCCAGACACCUCAGAGGACUGACCUGCCUCCAGUCUCAACACAGGGCGUGGGGAAGGACACGGCUCGGGGCCUGCAGGCUCAGGUUAAGACUCCGGAUUGUCAGAGUUGGAUGAGAUGCCAGCAAGUCCUACUCCAGAAAUCUGCAGGUGGGGAAACUGAGGCCCAGGGAGUAGAAGAAUUUGCUCAAAGUCACUCAGCGUGUCGGGAGAGCAGUCGCCAAUAAGAGCGUGGGCCCUGAAAGCAGAAAGAUGAGGCUGCGAGCCUCGUGCUGCCCCUCACUGGCUGCGUGACCUUGGACAGCAAAUGCCCUCAACUCGUAAGACUGCAGAGGGGACUGAGAGAACAUGUCUAAAGUGCCCAGCACUGCCUGGCACAGACUGAAGGCUCACCACAUGCUAGUUAUUGCUAUUCUUCUUGAUGUGGUUAUUGUCCUUAAGCCCAGAACUCUGUAUCUGCAGCAUGGCCUGUUAAUUCACUGGAAGGACUUUUCUCUGCCUUGGUGAUCUGCCCAGCAAAAGUCUAACAGCCUAUCUGUGCUAGCUUUGUCCUGUGGCCUGGAGCUAAAUCAUAGAGGCCUCCCGAGACCGGGCCACAGGCAGGCAGAGCUUUAGUAGGAGAGAAAAUGCUCCCUGUGGGCAGCGGCACAUGUCAUUAUUGUCAUCACCCGGCCUAGCUGGGUUCCAGAAUACUCCUACUGAAUGAAUGAAGGAUGGAAGGUUUGCCUGUUGAUUUCUCCAGACCCGGGCCACCUCUGGAGCUUGCCUCUAAGGCAGAAAGCAUGAAUUUUGGAGCCAGCUGGCCUGUUUCUUCAUCUGCAGAAGGGGUCAUGUUUGUCCUGAAGGACGCAGUGGGAGGGUGUGUGCAGAGCAUUUGGCACAAGGCAGGUGAUUCUGCAACAGAAGCUGCUACUGGGGCUCAUCCCCUCUCCACCGGCACAGGCACGCACCUCCUUCUACCCCGUUCCUCCAGCCCUUUGGACAGGCGGAACACGCAUUCCUACUCCCACUGUGCAGCAGAGGAAACUAAGGCCCCGAGAAGAUGGUGAAUCUGGAGCUCAGAGAGGUGCUGAGACUUGCUCAAGAUCACACAGCAAAGAACAGGCAGGGCUGGGAUUCCGGGCCAAGGCUGGUGUUCUCUUCCUGACACGACAGUAUUACCCCAAAGUCUUUGUUUUCCAUUCUCAAGUUCAACAUCAGUGGUGGAGCUGUAGCGGGGGCUGCCGAAGCUCCGCCCAGAUCCACAGGGCCCCUUUAUCCUCUUGGUGUGACCACUGCCCGCUUCUGUGCGCUUUGCUUCCAAUGGCCCUCGCCUGCAACCUUCUUCAGGAGGCGACCCUUGGGCCCUUGGAGCCAUUGGCCCAGACACAGGGCUGACCGUGCCUGUGUUCACUGGGGUCCAUCGCCAAUGGCUGACGGGAACCAGAGCAUUAAGCCCAGCUCCCUCACCUCGAGGCAGGACAAACUCUGAGUUGUGAUUUACCCUCCAGAGCUCCUCGUGCGCUCAGGCUGGUCCUAGGACUUCGCCUGGGAUGGGAUGGCACCUUGCUUGGUUUCUCUCUCUUCCCUGUCCUGCUCCACCCACUCCCUCCCUCCAGUCUCCCCUGGGAGCACUUCCUUAAUACAUCCAUUAUAAAUAAAUUCUCACUUCAACGUCUGCUUCUGAAUGUGACCUAAGACAGGCGCUGACCAAGGGCUCCAGCAUCAAGAUUGCAAAAAGAGACGGGAUCAGAGAGGGAGGGGACGCUCCUUUGCUAAAAUCUGACCUUCGAGGGGAGCCCUUAGUGAAGCUGUGGCCAGCCACGGAGGUGGGGAAGAAGUCAUCUGAGAAUGUGCUGGAAUCUAUUUGCAAAUGAGCUGUGAUCUUAAAGGACUGAGGUCUCGUCCUCUCCUCUGAAUGACAGAAGUGGGAGCUUGGGGAGUGAGUCCUGGCUCUGGCCAGGGGCACAAACCUGCUGCGUGCUGCCUUGGAUCUGAGACAGAGGUUAGCAUGCAGGACAUCUGCUAGAGGUAGAUUCUUAGGAACAAAACCUACAAAGGAGUGAGGAAAGCAGGAUUGGGCUGAGAGAGAUGGGAUUGCGAUGCAAUUGUAUCAGAGCUCCCAGGGGAUCCCACGGAGACCUCUGGGGCUGGGAGGGCCCUGAGAGACGUCCUCAAUCAAGGCCAGGGGCUGGGGUCUCAUACUCCUGCCAGGACUCCAGAUGAGGACAAGUUCUGGAGAAGGGCUCAGCUGUGAGGCCUCUCAGCUGCAGAGCAGAGCAGACACUUGUUGACUGACCGUUGACCUGUUCCCACCUGGCGUUUUCUUGUCACUGUUUCGUCCGAUCUUUGAGGAGAGAAGUUGUAGAAAGGAAACCUGUCUGCUUUCAGUUUCAUUUAAGUCCACGUAGAUUUCCUGAGGACUUCCUGUGUGCUGAGCCUUUAUAGGCCCUGUGGAGGACCGAGAGAUGAAGAAGUCAGGGUCCUCACGGAACUUCAGUCCAGCUGGAGAGACGCAGCUUUGCCUAUGACAAGUGGAAGGACAGCUCAGAGGAGCUGUUGUCAUAAUGCUUUUGCAGUGGCCUUCUUCAGAUCCCAUCCUGUCUCUGCUGUCACCCAGUGAUGCACUGCCUCCCCCAAACCCAAAAGCUGUGACAGCCCAGGUGACCACGGAGAGGAAAUCCCUGGCCAGAACAGCCUCUGCUUCGCAAAGGGACAGCAAUAAAGGCAGACUUUUGCCCGGAGCACCGGACUUCUGAGGCUGGUCUGCACGGAUCUGACUGAGGCGGCAUUAACAUUCCUGCCGGAGAUGGAAUCUGCUCUUCUGAUUAGGACUUUGUGAACAUUACACACCCGCGCUCCAGCCGGGGAGAUUUCUAUCUGUGACUUUGCUUAUGAUCUGCUGUGCCCUCAACUCCGGGGAUGUAACAGCUGCAAUGUUUGACUGGACGUUCAGAAAAGAUAAACCUGCCGUCCGUGGGUUUACACACCCACUCACCUGCACACCCACACCACACUCUGUGAAGUCUCGCCUUUGUUUUCUUCCAGUGCAGUGUUAAAUGUGGGUGAAUGUUUCCCAAACCUGCCUGAUGGGGAAUUUGCCAGAAAACACAGAUUCUCAGGUCCCCUCCCAAUCUGAUUCAGCAGGUUGGAAGAGGGGUUGUAUUAAGAAGUUAUAGUUUUAACAAGACCACAGGAAAUUCCUAUGAUUGGAGGAGUAUGAUUGGAUAAAUUCAGCAGGGGUGGCCCAGUGCUUCUCAAACCACAGCAGGUGCCCGGAACAGCUGGGCGGCUUGUUAAAAACAGAGCUGACCUUCUUAUCUGGGCCUGAGAAGUUACAUUUCUGACACACUCCCAGGUGAUGCAGAUGCUGCUGGCGUGGAGACGACACUUUGAGAGCCACUGGUGGAGACAGAUGUAAACUGCUCAGCCUCGGUUUCACCAUCUGUCACGUGGGGUUCAUCAAAAUUUCUACCUCCUGGGUGUCGUUAUGAGGAUUAACUGAGUUAAUACUUGUAAAGAACUUCCAGCAGUGUCUGGCACAUGGUAAAUUAGUAUUCCGUGUUUGUUAAAUAGACGAACUAAAAUGCCAGCCUAGGUUAUAGGUAACUUUUCAUUCAUACACUCAGUGAAUACAUAAUGAUACCACCCUGUGCUGGAACUGUCUUGUAAGUAGGGAGCACGCGGUGGUGCAGGAGGCAGAUAGAGUCCCUUCUCAUUCUGUGGUCAAGAACGGUGGAUUUUCUGGUUAUGGCUGAUGCGUUCUUCCAGCAUGUCAUUCUUGGAAGCCCUGUAUCUCCCAAGACCUUAAAAGCCCAAUGAUAUGAUCAACAUCAAGACCCUGUCCUGCUGUGCUUGCACGCUGGACUUAGCCUUCAAGGCACCCAUCCUGAUUCUUAACCCUUCAUCUGUUCGUGCAAUGGUUUCACAGCUGCUUCCUCGUGGAUGGCACGGUUGGUAAGGCCAGGCUCUAUCUCUGCGGCUCGUCCCUGCUGAGUCCCCAGCACAUCGUGCUGCGUCUGGCACAUCAUAGCUGCUCAAUGAAUUUGUUGAAUGAGUGGAUGGUGGAUGGAUGGACAGACAGAUGGACAGACAGACAGUUGGAGCCUGGUCACUCACCGGCCUCUCCCAGGUGACCAAGCAGUUUCCUGUCAGGCUUCCCACCUCCAUCGUUGGCCCCUUCAAUCCAUUUUCCCCACUGCAGCUGCAGAGAUGGUUCUAAAACCCAGGUCUGAUCCUCUUCCAUGGCUCUCUCUUUUAAUAAUUUUCUUCUAUGGACCACGUGUAAAUCAAACUCCAUAACUUAUACAUUAAUUCAUGUCUCCAUUUACAAGUAAUCAAAGUCAUGUGCCUGCCAAUCGAAUUGUUGGUUACCAGGAGAUAAGAAGUGCUAAUAAAAUUUCAACUCAAA
rnacentral:lncRNA from 1 species